CAAUAGCGUAUAUUUAAGUUGUUGCAGUUAAAAAGCUCGUAGUUGGAUUUCUGCUGAUCGCUGUCGGUCUGCCGUCAGGUGUGUACUGGCAGUGUUUGGCAUCUAUUCGCGAUUGGGUGUCCACUUGAUUGUGUGCACUCGAUGUCGGAGCUAAUACUUUGAGAAAAUUAGAGUGUUCCACGCAGGCGCGUGCCUUGAAUACUGCAGCAUGGGAUAUUGGAAGGCCGAUUGAGCUUUCUUGUUGGUUCUCGGUUUGAUCGGAAUGAUUAAUAGGGAUAGUUGGGGGCAUUCGUAUUCAACUGUCAGAGGUGAAAUUCUUGGAUUUGUUGAAGACGGACUACUGCGAAAGCAUCUGCCAUGGAUGUUCUCAUUGA
rnacentral:rRNA from 1 species